UGGGGAAUAUUGCACAAUGGAGGGAACUCUGAUGCAGCGACGCCGCGUGAGUGAUGAAGGAAUUCGUUUCGUAAAACUCUGUUCUAUGGGAAGAAAAGGACUGUACCAUAGGAGAAAGCUCCGGCUAAAUACGUGCCAGCAGCCGCGGUAAUACGUAUGGAGCGAGCGUUGUCCGGAAUUAUUGGGCGUAAAGGGUGCGCAGGCGGCUUUACAAGUUGGAUGUGAAAUAUUGUGGCUCAACCACAAACGUGCAUCCAAAACUGCAAAGCUUGAGUUAAGGAGAGGUAAGUGGAAUUCCUGGUGUAACGGUGGAAUGCGUAGAUAUCAGGAGGAAUACCGGUGGCGAAGGCGACUUACUGGACUUAAACUGACGCUCAGGCACGAAAGCGUGGGGAGCAAACAG
rnacentral:rRNA from 1 species